UUUAAGUAGUUUAGAUAAAAUAAUGAUUUGUGGAGUCAUAGAAAUAUUAUAUAUCUUAAAUCA
rnacentral:tRNA from 1 species